AUACGUAAGGACCGAGCGUUGUCCGGAAUCAUUGGGCGUAAAGGGUACGUAGGCGGUUAAAAAAGUUAGAAGUGAAAGGCUAUAGCUCAACUAUAGUAAGCUUUUAAAACUGUUUAACUUGAGAGAUGGAAGGGAAAGUGGAAUUCCUAGUGUAGCGGUGAAAUGCGCAGAUAUUAGGAGGAAUACCGGUGGCGAAGGCGACUUUCUGGCCAUUAUCUGACGCUGAGGUACGAAAGCGUGGGUAGC
rnacentral:rRNA from 1 species